rnacentral:rRNA from 1 species
AUGACCAUGGAGCAAGCAAUUUAUCUCGUCUUGGCUCUCCUCCUGCCUCUCCUGCUCCUCAAGCUCAUCAGGAAGCGCGGCCACGGCGCUGGGCAGCAGCUGCCGCCUGGCCCCUGGCGGCUGCCGGUGAUCGGCAGCCUGCACCACCUCGCCGGCAACCCACUGGUCCACCGCGCCUUCGUGGACAUCGCGCGCCGGCUGGGCGACGCGCCGCUAGUGUACCUCAAGCUCGGCGAGGUGCCGGUGCUGGUGGCCUCUUCUGCCGAGGCCGCGCGCGAGGUCAUGAAGACGCAGGACGUCACGUUCGCGACGCGGCCGUGGAGCCCCACCACCAAGAUCAUCAUGUCCGAUGGGGUCGGCUUGGCGUUCGCGCCCUAUGGCGCUCAUUGGCGCCAGCUCCGCAAGAUCUGCAUCAUGGAGCUGCUCAGCGCCCGCCGGGUGCAGUCGUUCCGCAACAUCUGGGAGGAGGAGGUGACGCGCCUCAUCGCCGCCAUUUCAGCUAGUGCCGCCGAGCCUGUCAACGUCAGCGAGCGGCUCGCCGUGCUCAUCGCAGACAUGACCGUACGCGCCAUGAUCGGGAACAGGUUCAACAGGCGGGAGGAGUUCCUGGAGGUGCUCCAACAGGGGGUUAAGAUCCUUUCGGGGUUUAACCUCAGCGAUCUCUUCCCCUCCUCCUGGCUCGUCGGCUUUGUUAGCUGCUCCGCCCGACAGGCGUGGGAGAAUCACACCAAGAGCUUUGAGCUCAUCGACUGCGCAAUCAAGCAGCACCAGGAGGUGAAGGCCGCCGCCGCCGCGUCCAACGGCGACGGGAAGGAAGGGGAGCAGGAGGACCUAUUGGACGUGCUCCUCAGGAUAUAG